AUUGAACGCUGGCGGCAUGCCUUACACAUGCAAGUCGAACGGCAGCACGGGAGCUUGCUCCUGGUGGCGAGUGGCGAACGGGUGAGUAAUACAUCGGAACGUACCCUGAAGUGGGGGAUAACGUAGCGAAAGUUACGCUAAUACCGCAUAUUCUGUGAGCAGGAAAGAGGGGGAUCGCAAGACCUCUUGCUUUAGGAGCGGCCGAUGUCGGAUUAGCUAGUUGGUGAGGUAAAGGCUCACCAAGGCGACGAUCCGUAUCGGGUCUGAGAGGAUGAUCCGCCACACUGGGACUGAGACACGGCCCAGACUCCUACGGGAGGCAGCAGUGGGGAAUUUUGGACAAUGGGCGCAAGCCUGAUCCAGCCAUGCCGCGUGAGUGAAGAAGGCCUCGGGUUGUAAGACUCUUCGUGGGGGUAAGGAAAUUAGGCUUCGGUUAAUACCUGGAGUAGAUGACGGUACCCG
rnacentral:rRNA from 1 species